rnacentral:tRNA from 1 species
UCCUGGUAGCUCAGCUGGUAAAGAAUCUGCCUGCAAUGUAGAAGACCCGGGUUUGAUUCCUGGAUCAGGAA